rnacentral:rRNA from 1 species
AUUGAACGCUGGCGGCAGGCCUAACACAUGCAAGUCGAGCGAGCGGCGGACGGGGGAGUAAUGUAUGGGGACUGCCCGCUAGAGGGGGAUAACUACUGGAAACGGGAGCUAAUACCGCAUACUAUCGGAUAACCCAUAUGGGGUUAGCUAGUAGGUGAGGUAAUGGCUCACCUAGUCGACGAUCCCUAGCGCGUCUGAGAGGAGGAUCAGCCACACGGGGACUGAGACACGGCCCAGACUCCUACGGAGGCAGCAGUGGGGAAUAUUGCACAAUGGGCGCAAGCCUGAUGCAGCCAUGCGGCGUGUAUGAAGAAGGCCCUAGGGUUGUAAAGUACUUUCAGUCGGGAGGCGUUCCCGACAGAAGAAGCACCGGCUAACUCCGUGCCAGCAGCCGCGGUAAUUC